ensembl:lncRNA
CUUUGUGACCCUACAGACUGUAGCCCGCCAUGUUCCUCUGUCCAUGAGCCUCUCCAGGUGCCACGCUGUCUCAGCGACAUUAUCUUCACGACAAUCACUGGCAUCAACCAGAGCAAGUCAUCCUUCCUUGCUCCAGCUCAAGACAUCCUCACGAUUGGCCUUUAACCUUUAAAACAAGUUUCAAAUUCGCCUUGCCAAGUUUCCCAAUGAAAGGGGCAUUCGACUGGUAAUGCGUGCCACCGAGCGUCUGACCGGAAGUGGUGAUGUAUGAGCAGCCUGGUUCGUUUUCAGUCUCUGGAGACACCGUUCGGUUUUCGCCACUACCUGUGCAGUCGCUUCGGCGACCGUGGCGCUGGAGGUCCACGUACUUUAGGGACAUUAAAGUGAUACCUGGCAGUGCAGUCAGCGUCCCACCUCCAGUCACCCUAUCAGCAGCGAGAGGAGGAAGCGCCCUGGCACAGGGAGGGGCUUCUCGCAGAGGGGGCAGCGGGACUAACACCGCCGCCUCUCUCCCCGUCCAAGACCAGACAGUAAGUGCGGUUCGGAUGCCAGCUCACGCACGCUGACUCGAGAGAUGUGAAUCCACGAGGGAGUUUCAGCCCCAGCUCCUCCCCUCCGGCACCGUCCUGCUCUCCUUAGGGACCCUCUACACAUCUGCAGAAGCCCUUCCCGGAACGACCACCUCCUGUCCUGGUUCAGGGUGAUCGUAGUACAGGUGUGGAGGACAGCCUCUGGGAUCUGGGGGGGCAAGACACAGCCUCACCUUCAGGUGUCAAGACCAGACCUGGUGGUCCUUGGAGCCUCGGACAGACUCGGGGAGAUGUCUGGCUCCCACCAGCAGAGUGGCUUCAGGUCCCCCCCUGUGAAGUUCAGAUCAUAGUGUCUUCCCAGUGGGGCUGGUGUGAGUAGCAUUUGGUGCCUAAGAAGCGCUCAGGAUUUUUUUUUUCUCUUCCCCUGUGUUAAGUGCUCAGUCACCAGAACUUUCUGGAAAUCAGGUGAGGGAGGGAGGGGUCUUACUCCUCCUCAUACCCCAGUCAAAGCCUCAGUGUGUUGCCUGGGCGGAGCUGG